GGGGAAUAUUGGACAAUGGGCGCAAGCCUGAUCCAGCCAUGCCGCGUGGGUGAAGAAGGCCUUCGAGUUGUAAACUGCUUUUGUACGGAACGAAAAGCCUCUCUCUAAUACAGGGGGGUGAUGACGGUACCGUAAGAAUAAGCACCGGCUAACUACGUGCCAGCAGCCGCGGUAAUACGUAGGGUGCAAGCGUUAAUCGGAAUUACUGGGCGUAAAGCGUGCGCAGGCGGGUUUGUAAGACAGUGGUGAAAUCCCCGGGCUCAACCUGGGAACUGCCAUUGUGACUGCAAGGCUGGAGUGCGGCAGAGGGGGAUGGAAUUCCCGGUGUAGCAGUGAAAUGCGUAGAGAUCGGGAGGAACAUCAGUGGCGAAGGCGACUGCCUGGGCCAACACUGACACUGAGGCACGAAAGCGUGGGGAGCAAACA
rnacentral:rRNA from 1 species